rnacentral:lncRNA from 1 species
UCUCUUGCCUCCCUUACGGAGCACAAAAGCAGGAUUGAAGUGUCAACAUUUGUUUUCAAUUAACUUGUGGAAACACACGCAGCGCUAUUGUUAAAGCCAGAGACUUCCUGCUGGAAGCUGCCAUUUCAGAAACUAAUUACUCUGCAAGGCAAAAGGCUGUUGUUGAGGGAAAAAAAAAAAAAACAAACCACCAUGUCGUUUUUUGUUUUAAACUCUCUUUUUAGAUAAAGGCAGUGAUAAGAUUUAAAGUUGGGGAGAGAGAGAGGGCUGAAAGAUACAUCUACUGCAGGAGACCUACAGACUUACAGCAAGGUUUUGUGUGCCCAGGGUACGGUGGGAUUUCGGCACGUGUGACUCAGUGACGGGGUUUACAGCAGGAAUGAGGGGAUCCAUGUUCAGAUUUGCCUGGUGGCAAUAGGCAGAGACCUGAUACAGUGGUCACGGCCCGUGGACCCUCUCCUCUGGGACUUCCCCUUACCCAGGCAGGGCCACCACUGCCUGGCUCAGCAUUCCUGAUCUUGGGACACCGGAGAGAUUCAGGUGGAGUUUAACAGGAUGAGCCCAAAAGCCCGGGAAGCCCUGACCUGACUUAGCACUUGUCGCUUUGCUCUGCCGUAGGUUUCUUCUGCGUGUUGCUGGCUGCUCAUCACCGCGGAGGAGCCGGGGGAGAUGCGGGUCAGCCUCUGAGCAGUGGGGGUUUCGGCCAGGCCCCGCCAGCGCCAGGGCAGGAAUGCAUGCGAGGUGGCUGAGGGGCCCGUUUCUCCCCCGCCGUGCAAGCCCUGUUUGCCAUGAGCGGGGCAGGGUGUUUCACAACUGCUGCUCAGUGUUUGCUCCCAAAGCAAAGGUCUCAAACUCCUGCGGCCAUCCCAGGAAAUUAAGCAAAGGGCAUUCAAUGUGCCCUCGUAUCAAAGGAAAUCCCACUCUCAGUUAAGUCUCUUGACUGCGCUUUGUGGACCUAUGUUCUAAGGCAGAGCCCCCCCUGCUUCUCCUGUCUCCGUCCAGAAUUGAGGAGUUACUUCAGUACGUUGGCUGCAGGCCCGAGGUAGGAUAUUGACUUUGGCUCCCUUUGGAUCUCGUGUGCGCUCAUGGUCAAGCACCCCGAGGAACAUGUACUCUGCCCUGCUGAAGACCAUGGCACCUUCCCUUCCAGCCCAGCGUGCACAGAGAAGACUGUGUGGGGCCAGAUGCAAAGGCUGGCCUGAUAUUGUGUGUUGUAGAAAAAGACUGGGUAGUACAAAACUGGUUCUUAAUAAUAAAAAUUCCCAGCAAGGGAGAUCA